AAGGGCCAAGAAGACAAAACCCUAACUUCACAAAUUCUCCAAAAUCAGAAGGAAAUUAAGAGUUCUAAUGGAUGCAUGAACCCUAAAUCGAGUAAUCUAAGCUUGUUCAACCCUUGGUGUUAAGGAAGAGAGUUCAAGUCAAGCGAAGCAACAAGGGAAUCAAGACCGAGGUGUUAAGGAAGAGAGUUCAAGUCAAGCGAAGCAACAAGGGAAUCAAGACCGAGGUAAAUCUCAAGUUUAGUUCUCAUGCUUCGCCCGGUUCGAACACACUUCAAGACCCGCUCUACGUUCCGCUACUUUUGUAAAGAAGACAACGCUUAAUAUUUUGGUCACUUUGUUUAAGUCUAGUAGUUAUAAACUUAGUACUUGUAUGUAUUUUGAACUUAUCAAAUUUCGUAUGCGUGUCAAGACGUUUG